GACGAACGCUGGCGGCGUGCUUAACACAUGCAAGUCGAACGGAAAGGCCCUGCUUUUGUGGGGUGCUAGAGUGGCGAACGGGUGAGUAACACGUGAGUAACCUGCCCUUGACUUUGGGAUAACUUCAGGAAACUGGGGCUAAUACCGGAUAGGAGCUCCUGCUGCAUGGUGGGGGUUGGAAAGUUUCGGCGGUUGGGGAUGGACUCGCGGCUUAUCAGCUUGUUGGUGGGGUAGUGGCUUACCAAGGCUUUGACGGGUAGCCGGCCUGAGAGGGUGACCGGCCACAUUGGGACUGAGAUACGGCCCAGACUCCUACGGGAGGCAGCAGUGGGGAAUAUGGCACAAUGGGCGGAAGCCUGAUGCAGCAACGCCGCGUGCGGGAUGACGGCCUUCGGGUUGUAAACCGCUUUCGCCUGUGACGAAGCGUGAGUGACGGUAAUGGGUAAAGAAGCACCGGCUAACUACGUG
rnacentral:rRNA from 1 species